rnacentral:rRNA from 1 species
AGAGUUUGAUCAUGGCUCAGGAUGAACGCUGGCGGCGUGCUUAAUACAUGCAAGUCGAGCGAGGACCACCCGGUGGCAACACCGGGUGACUCCUAGCGGCGAACGGGUGAGUAACACGUGGGCAACCUGCCCCCGACUCUGGGAUAAGCCCGGGAAACUGGGUCUAAUACCGGAUACGAGCCUCCACCGCAUGGCGGAGGUUGGAAAGGGUCUCCGGUCGGGGAUGGGCCCGCGGCCUAUCAGCUUGUUGGUGGGGUAACGGCCCACCAAGGCGACGACGGGUAGCCGGCCUGAGAGGGUGAACGGCCACACUGGGACUGAGACACGGCCCAGACUCCUACGGGAGGCAGCAGUAGGGAAUCUUGCGCAAUGGGCGAAAGCCUGACGCAGCGACGCCGCGUGGGGGAUGACGGCCUUCGGGUUGUAAACCUCUUUCGACCGGGACGAAGGGUAACUGACGGUACCGGUAGAAGAAGCACCGGCCAACUACGUGCCAGCAGCGGCGGUAAUUC